AGCAGCCGCGGUAAUUCCAGCUCCAAUAGCGUAUAUUAAAGUUGUUGCAGUUAAAAGCUCGUAGUUGAAUUUCGGGGUUAGUAGGUUGGUCAUGCCUCCGGUAUGUACUGGUCUCACUGAUUCCUCCUUCCUGAUGAGCCGUAAUGCCAUUAAUUUGGUGUUGCGGGGAAUUUGGACUGUUAC
rnacentral:misc_RNA from 1 species